UACGGGGGGAGCAAGCGUUGUUCGGAUUUACUGGGCGUAAAGGGCGCGUAGGCGGCCACCGCAAGUCGACUGUGAAAUCUCCGGGCUUAACCCGGAAAGGUCAGCCGAUACUGCGGGGCUAGAGUGCAGAAGGGGCAACUGGAAUUCUCGGUGUAGCGGUGAAAUGCGCAGAUAUCAGGAGGAACACCGAUGGCGAAGGCAGUGGUCUGGGCCGAUACUGACGCUGAGGAGCGAAAGCGUGGGGAGCGAACAGG
rnacentral:rRNA from 1 species